rnacentral:rRNA from 1 species
GACGAACGCUGGCGGCGUGCUUAACACAUGCAAGUCGAACGGAAAGUCCCUGCUUUUGUGGGGUGCUCGAGUUGCGGACGGGUGAGUAACACGUGAGUAUCCUGCCCCUGACUUUGAGAGAACUUCAUGAAACUGAGGCUAAUACGGCAUAGGAUCUCCUGCCGCUUGGUGGGCGUUGGAAAGGUUCGGCUGUUGGGGAUGUACUCGCCGCCUAUCAGCUUGUUGGUGGGGUAGUGUCUUACCAAGGCUUUGACGGGUAGCCGGCCUGAGAGGGUGACCGGCUAAAUCGGAACUGGGAUAAGGCACAGACUACUACGGUACGCAUGGGUGGAGAGUAUUGCACAAUAGGAGGAAGGCUGAUGCAGUCACGCAGCGUGCGGGAUGACGGACUUGGGGUUGUGAAGUGAUGUCGGAUGUGACGGAGCGUGAAUGACGGUAAUGGGUAAAGAAGCACCGGCUAACUACGUG